UACGUAGGGGGCAAGCGUUGUCCGGAUUUAUUGGGCGUAAAGAGCGUGUAGGCGGCCACACAGGUCAGCUGUGAAAACUCGAGGCUCAACCUCGAGACGUCGGUUGAAACCGUAUGGCUAGAGUCCGGAAGAGGAGAGUGGAAUUCCCGGUGUAGCGGUGAAAUGCGCAGAUAUCGGGAGGAACACCGGUGGCGAAGGCGGCGACCUGGGUGGAUACUGACGCUGAGGUGCGAAAGCGUGGGGAGCAAACAGG
rnacentral:rRNA from 1 species